GGGUCCGGAGUUGUAAUUUGUAGAGGAUGCUUCGGGCAAGGCUGUGGUCUAAUUCGCUUGGAACAGCGGGUCACAGAGGGUGAGAAUCCCGUCUAGGAUCGUACGCCGCGUCCAUGUGAAGCUCCUUCGACGAGUCGAGUUGUUUGGGAAUGCAGCUCUAAAUGGGUGGUAAAUUUCAUCUAAAGCUAAAUAUUGGCCAGAGACCGAUAGCGCACAAGUAGAGUGAUCGAAAGAUGAAAAGCACUUUGAAAAGAGAGUUAAACAGUAUGUGAAAUUGUUGAAAGGGAAGCGCUUGCAAUCAGACUUGUGGCUGACGGUUCCSCCGGCCCCCGUGGCCGGGCURCUCCGUCGUGUCCAGGCCAACAUCGGUCUGGGUGGCCGGUUAAAGACCCCAGGAAUGUAUCUACCUUCGGGUCGACUUAUAGCCUGGGGUGGAAUGCGGCCCACCCGGACCGAGGAACGCGCUCCGGCUCGGAUGUUGGCGUAAUGGUUGCAAGCGGCCCGUCUUGAAACACGGACCAAGGAGUCUAACAUCUAUGCGAGUGUUUGGGUGUCAAACCCCUACGCGGAAUGAAAGUGAACGGAGGUAAGAACCCCGCAAGGGGCGCAUUAUCGACCGAUCCUGAUGUCUUCGGAUGGAUUUGAGUAAGAGCAUAGCUGUUGGGACCCGAAAGAUGGUGAACUAUGCCUGAAUAGGGUGAAGCCAGAGGAAACUCUGGUGGAGGCUCGCAGCGGUUCUGACGUGCAAAUCGAUCGUCAAAUUUGGGC
rnacentral:rRNA from 1 species